UAAAUGAGAAAGGUAGUCAUGUCCCAUCCGUCCACCCCCACUUUAUCCCCUCACUCACACAUGGACGUUAUCUAAUUUGCUGAUCUAUCCAAAUAAGGCUUAGGAUUAUGAUAAUUACUGAUAUAUCCCACAUACCAGUGCAUAGACACCACAUUGUGAUUUUUUUCACUUUAAUAACAGUUGCCAGAGGGAACAUCAUACCAAGAAGAUAUAUAUGGGCUACUACAGUACCUUUAUUACACAGGAGAUUUGAAAAGAGAUUUCAAGCUUGCCUGGUACCCGCAAAUGUUUGUGUUGCCUAGGACGCCAAGAUAGCUUGUAAAGCAAUCAGCCUCUCCCUAAAGGAACCCAGGACCUAUUUCGAAGGUAGAUUGCCUGACCUUGCAUCAACCCAAGUUUCAACCACAGCAAUUGGACAACAGGUGUAUGUGUUCCCGGCUCCGCACAGGUUCCUGGACACAUCUUAAUGGAGGUUAAUGAAACAAGAACAUCAGCAAGAUGUCUGGUCAGCUGGAUGUGGAUAUGGAUUUCAACAGGACAGAAACCAGGGAGUGUUCUCGGUGUUGGAACAGACCAUGUGUACUCAGUCAGCCAUCCAGUUUUAAGUUGAAGGCUUGCAGUAUCAGGAAGCCCUACAAUUUUAAUUUGAAAGCCCAAGCCCCAACCGAGUGAGAUGCCCAGUUAUGACCAUAGUCUGACACAGCACAACAGUAGUAAAGUUGUUCAUUGAGUCUUUUAUGUAGGUACAUGUACAUUAAUUAUCAGUACUUAAUUUCCUAUAUUUUGAAAGCAGUUACAUGUAAUUAUCAACAGUACUAGCAUACUGUUAUACAAACCUUAAUACUCUUUGUGUUUGUUGUGUUUUAGACUUAGGUUCAUGCCAAGAAUAGCUUGCCUUUUCUUUGAUCUAAUUAAAAAUAUCUUAUCAAAUCAAUACAUAGGCAUACAAAUCUAAUAUUUAGAAUACUCACCAACUAAAAUUAUUUCAUCCUCAGCUUUUUCAAAAGUCCUAUAUACCAGCAUGAACCAUUGGACAAGGUGUCUCUGAGUAAAAUUUUUUGAUUAUUAAUUCAGGAUUUCUCAAGCAAAGCACAAGAUUCUUGAAGAGUUAAAUGGGCAGACUAAAGGUCGAACAGUAAGUAAUAAACUAGAGGGCAGAGUAUCAAGUUUUUCAUAUCAUAGUUUUUCAUGCUACAUGUAGUACCAUCAGAGACCAAAUAUCAAAUAUAAAUGAACAUCGAUUCAUCUUGUUGUACUUCCAUAUUGUUACAUUGUUGUCACUGGAUUUCUGUUUUAAUUAUUAUCAAGCAACCAUGCUCAUCAUUUUCUUCCAUAUACUGUGUCAACUUUCCACUUUUUAUACAUUUUGCCUCAACUAACUGUACUCAAAAAUGUAAAAUGCUAAACCUGCCUUACUCUGUUCUACUAUAUAGCAUGUGUGAAUGCAAUCUUUUCUAAAAUGCAGAAGAGCAUACUUUUUAUAACAUGCAAUUUUUACUGUGUUCUUCCAGGCCUGUAAUACAGAUGAAGAGAUCAUAUCUGCCUAAAACUGUGCUACAAUAUAGGUCACUAUGCCUGGAAGACAGGAAGACUGGGUUCCCAUUGCUACUAACAAUAUCUAUUCAUCUCAGAGGGUUUCUCACUAAAUAGCUUUCAGUUUAAGUGGCUAAAUAUCUGGCAUGCCUACUGAAGCUGCUAAAUGAUAAUUUUUUAUCAGUAGGGAUAUCAGACAUCUAAGCCCCUUAAGUUGAUUGCAACAGAGAUAGAUCGACAGCACAACAUUCCUCCAGUGGCUUCACACCUGGUCAUGCACCAGAAGACAGGUAAAAUACUCCUUAAUAUGGUGACCUAAUGCAAAAAUAUAGACCAUGGACUGACUGAGAAUGCAAAGUCCACUUAAUACAAAAAAGGCAUGCUUUUUUCAAACAUUUUUUUUUCAAUGUCAACUGGAAAAAAUCCAACACCAAUGCUGAUGAUAUGAUAAAGGAAAUAAGGACACAUAAAGUUUAUUGUUCCACAAAGUGCUAACUGUCUUAUGUCAAGGUUUGUGUUGUAAUAAUAAUAACACCCAUGGUAUGGACCUUGAUCCCCUUUCUUGGCAUUACUAUUUCUUUUAUUUUCAUCCCAAACAAAUUAAAAAACCCUACUCCAGUCCACACAGCCAUUAUAUGGAUAGGAAGAAAAGAUGUUUUUUAUGCACUUUAAUACAGUCAAGAAUUGUAAGAGAGUUUGAUUCAUUUUAUCAAGCUGCACAUCUGCCAAAACAUUCUUCAUUGUUAGUAUCUUGCCUGCAGCUCAUGUACUGCUCCAUGGAUAGUAACAAUUACUCUUUUGUGGUGCUGUUUUUUCUACAUUUCAGUAAUAUAACUCAAUAUUGUUGGGAUCACGACAUGUGCAUUGAACUUCAGUCCUCAUUUUCUCUAUACACAAUUUGUUCAAUGUUUCUUUCUUUAUAUUUUUCAGGUGGGCAAACAGGUUCUUCCAAAACAGCUAAUAAGUUGAGAAGACUAUGUAUAGCAAAUGAACUUCGAGUGUUCCAACCAUCUUGAUGGAAUAAGUCAUGGACAAAAGAGGGGAAACAGACUUAUCUUGUUACUUAUUCUCUAUGACAGAUGUAUUUUUCUUGAUUAGGAAAUAAACAUACAAUAUGUACCUGUAUACAUAAUAAUACUAAAGAAUCUGCAACAUAUGAUUUUUAUUUCUCGGGGAGGUAAUCAUUUAAAAUGAUAUAUAUUCAAGUUGGAAACAAUAUGGAAUAUGGAAGUCAUUCACAGAAUAUCAAUUUUAAGGUGUGGUGUAUUACUCUACCAAUUUCAACACAUUCAGUUUGAAAACUGGACUCUUCUAUU